AUGAUUUUGCAAGCAGCUCUGUUAGGAUCAUACCUCUUUAUCCUCGAACACCAGGGAGGCAGGGACCUAAACCUGGUUGAUGAGCCAUGACCGUGUGAUCAUAUCGUGAGUAAUGGGUGGAUGAUCCUUGUGAUCAUAUUUGCUGUAGAGGAUCGUUCCCUCAGCCCUUGAUUUGGCUUGGGGAUGAUCGUGCGGUGAUCUGACAGGCA
rfam:Populus trichocarpa scaffold_12_contig_185, whole genome shotgun sequence.